GCGGGGUGAUACAUCGCUGCGACCAUGAGGAUAUUUUUUCUCACCGCAUUCAGUUCACCGCUUCGAGAAGAUCGAAGAACAAAGACACUGUUCUAUUUUGAUAUGGCAAGAUAGAACAUGGAUCUGCACUGACUGCACUGCACCAAGUUGUUCCCUCUUCUCUAACGGUCGACUAAUUGGCGAAUUGCUGAACGAGAAGGUGCUGCGAGACGAGCGAGACUUGUGACUGCGACCUGCGACUGCGACUUUCGCUACUUCGAUAUUUCGAGAAUCGCAUUUCGAUACAUUUUGAAACUUGCCGCUGAAUCGCGUUUAAAUUACUACAUAUUUUUCACGAUUAUAAUUUAUUUCUUGUCUUUGUCGUUAUUAAAUGUAACGUUAAAUUUGUACGCAAAGAAUUACAUAUUAUGAUUAUCUUUCUCCUAAAACAUCGUAACGCAUUAAAUAUUGCUAUUGUAUGCUGAUAUUCAGUGUUGCGCUUAGAUAACUCAAAAUUAUCUAAGACAAAAUAGUGUACAUGUAAAUGUAUCUUAGAUAAGAUAAAGAUUUAAUUUUAAUUUAACCAGAUCAAAUUAUACAUGAUUUUAUCUAAAUAACUUUUAUUGUAGGUAAUAAUGCCUUUGAGCAAAAUAAUUUAGGACAUUUAGCCUUUAUUACCACGAAUAAAAAUUUUGUCAAACUUAUGUUCUCUAUAAAAAAUUUUAAUAUUGUCUAUUUAUGCGCUACGUAUAACACAUAUCUAAUAAUUAAAAAACUAGUUACACAGUAAUUAGUGUAGCUUUCAAUAAAAAUAUUUUAUUAUUAAAACAAAAUAAAAACGUAUGAAAGUUUAGUAUAGUCUUUUAUAUUUUUUAUAUUAUCGUACUUUACAGGUUUAGAAGUAUCUUUGUUACCUUAAUAUUUUAGUGAUAACUGGUAUGCAAUAAAAAAAAAUUUAAUAUAAGGACAAAAAAACAAAACCGCUUAAAUGUACAAUUGUAUGUAGGAAACGAAAUAAAUUUUCUAUAAUUACACUAA